CAACAGGGAUUGCCUCAGUAACGGCGAGUGAAGCGGCAACAGCUCAAAUUUGAAAUCUGGCGGCCUCUGGGCCGUCCGAGUUGUAAUUUGAAGAGGAUGCUUUUGGCGAGGCGCCUUCCGAGUGCCCUGGAACGGGACGCCACAGAGGGUGAGAGCCCCGUAUGGUUGGACGCCGAGCCUCUGUAAAGCUCCUUCGACGAGUCGAGUAGUUUGGGAAUGCUGCUCAAAAUGGGAGGUAAACCCCUUCUAAAGCUAAAUACUGGCCAGAGACCGAUAGCGCACAAGUAGAGUGAUCGAAAGAUGAAAAGCACUUUGAAAAGAGAGUUAAAUAGCACGUGAAAUUGUUGAAAGGGAAGCGCUUGCGACCAGACUUGUGCCCGUCGAAUCAGCCGCCGCUCGCCGGCGGCGCACUUCGGCGGGCUCAGGCCAGCAUCAGUUCGCUGCAGGGGGAGAAAGGCGGCGGGAAUGUGGCUCUUCGGAGUGUUAUAGCCCGCCGCGCAAUACCCCUCGGCGGACUGAGGACCGCGCAUCUGCAAGGAUGCUGGCGUAAUGGUCGUCAGCGACCCGUCUUGAAACACGGACCAAGGAGUCGUCCUAAUAUGCGAGUGUUCGGGUGUAAAACCCCUGCGCGUAAUGAAAGUGAACGGAGGUGAGAGCUUCGGCGCAUCAUCGACCGAUCCUGAUGUUCUCGGAUGGAUUUGAGUAAGAGCAUAUUGGGCCGGACCCGAAAGAAGGUGAACUAUGCCUGUAUAGGGUAAAGCCAGAGGAAACUCUGGUGGAGGCUCGCAGCGGUUCUGACGUGCAAAUCGAUCGUCAAAUAUGGGCAUGGGGGCGAAAGACUAAUCGAA
rnacentral:rRNA from 1 species